AACGAGCUACCGGACGCCCCCAUCUCAGCCCCGGGCGGCAGGGCCCCUUCCUUCCGCGACCCCCGGCGGGCCCUGGCCGGCUUCGCUGCGGCCGCCUCUCUGCCUCUGGGGAAGCGGCGGCCUCCCCUCCUCCUCCCGCCGCCUUUCCCUCCCCUCCCCGGGCCCUGGGAGAGGCGGUCUCGCGGGCGGCUGGCCGGCCGGCCGGCCUGGGGAGGAACGGGGUUUGGAGGGCCGAUGCCGAAGCACUCGUCGGGGGCACGUGAGCUCUAGAGGGAGCCCCGAGGCGGUGGCGGCAACAUCUGGAAGUGUGACUAGGCGGUGGGGAAGAAGGAGCAGGCCGAGAAAACCCGGGAAGUGGGUUGGGGGAAGGGGAAAGGUAGUAACUGGAUCCCCCGGCCGCAGCGCACCCCCCAGGCCCACGCUUUUCGGGGUGUUCUGGAGAUCGCCGGCCGGGGCCUUUGCUGUCUUCUCCUUGGGGAAGGAACCUCCACAGUCUUUAGGUAUAGACGAGGGGAAGACUUUGAGUUACUCCCUUCCAGUGUAGUGUUGGGGGAAAGGGAGACAUAAUGGGAAGGGAACUGAAACAAUUUCCACUACAGAUAGAGAAAUAAUUCCGAAUGAGGUGGUAAUCUCUUUUCUACGGACCCAGCCCGUAACUAGGCCUCAUCAUUGACAUUUAAAGCUUUUAGUCUGGUCAAAGGCAAGUUGUUUGUUAAUUAAAUGAUUUGAAGUAGGGAGAAUAAUGGAGUGUCUGAGUAGCCUAUUUCAGAAUACUGUUUACCAGUGUCAGGCUCUCCUAGGGCAAUGCCUCUGUGACUAGUGUUGUACUGUGAAACUUCAUUAUGAUGUCCCUCAUAGUUAACUUGAGUCUCACUUUUAAAAACAGGCCUAUUAAAAAACAAGGGAUUUCAUCAGAUAACACGUUAUUGUAGUUCACUAUUGAGUUAGGUUUAUUUUUUUGACACAAUAUUAUAGCAGGAAAUAGCAUAUUAAGAAAAAUAAAACUCCUAGUACAUUGUAAGUCUUGCAAAUUUUAAGUACAUUAAUGCUUGCCAAAUUUAUUUAUGUGAAAUAUUGAGAGUGAUUGAAUAAUUUUACUCAUCUGUAAAAGUAAUAGUACAACUUUUUCCACCUAAAUCGACAAAAAUGCUAGCUUUUCUAUGAUUGAACUUAACAACAAAAUUCUGUAAGUAAUUAUUUUUUUCAGGUUUACAUGUUUUUCUUCUAGGCUUGCUUGAUGCUUUGAUAAUGUCAAUUAUGAUCUUUAAAAUUAAGCCUUUUAAGCACAUGAGGAACUGUUACAAAUCUUGUAGCUCUCCACCUAUAUUUGUGCCUUCCAGCUUGCAGAUCAUUAGCCAUCGUCCCAGUAGACUUGUAGAAAGUCACUUAAAAUUGAAAUGACAAUAUUAGCAGAUUUAGUGAGCAUACUAAGAAGUAAGUAGUGAUCUGCCUUACGUAGCAUGAACUCUGACCUCUGUAUUCAUUUGCCAAAACUCUGAAUGGAAGGAUGACUUUGUAUUUUUUGUGGAACAAUGCAGAAACAGUGUGAAUGGCUGUAUUCACAAAUUUUUAACGGUGAUUUAAACUUUUUAAAUAAGCAAACUUAGUUUGGGAUUGUUUAUAUAUAUAUAUUCUUUUUUUUCCCGUUUUUUUGAGGCAGGGUUUCUUAAUGGAAGAUAAUACCUAAUCUUGUUGGCCUCAAACAUCUAUAAUAAGGUGGUAGGAGUCUUUAGACUUCUCAUGCUUUCUUUUAUCUAAAAGUGUCAAGUUACUGCCCUGAAAAUCGAUAUAUUCUCUUUGCUUCCUGUGGUGUGACUUUUCCCAAUGGUGUUUGGUGUUUAAGUUGAAGGUUUUCAGCAUUUGUAUGGCUCUGGCAGUGCAUAUUUAACUGAUGGGUUAAGGAAGUGGCUCCAUGGGUAAAGGUGGCUUGCCUGAUGACCUGAGUUCAGACUCGAGGACCCACAUGGGAGGUUUUUCCUUUGACCUCUACACCCAUAAAUGCAAAUAAAAUAAAAGCUCAUCCUCAUGUACAAGAUUUAAAAAAAUUGUCAAUGGAUCUCAGGAAGAAAAUAGGAAAUAUGAACACAAGUUAUUCAAGAAUGGUCCCUUUAAAAACCUAGCAGGGAACUCAUUUCAAGGAACUAAGUUGCAAAGAAUGUUUUGGAAAAGAUCAGAUGAAAUUUAAUAUUGUAAAACACACACACACACACACAAAACCAACGUAUAGCUUUAUCCUCACAGAUAGUUUAUUUCGUUGACAUUUUAGUAAGUCAAGUCCAGUUCCGUAGAUAGGUUGUAUUGAUUUUCACCUCAAUGAAGGACCCAUAGUGCAGUCUAUAUAUUUCCUUUUUAGUGUGUAAAUGUGAGCUUUUGAAUAGUUGGCCAAGUAAUUAUUUCACCAUGUCACUUCAUGCAAAUCUCCAGUAUAUGAGGUUUAAUUCAUUUGGUAGUGUUUUAAUAAUUUUGGUGGAUCUGAUGACUUUUUUUUUUUUUUUUUUUUUUUGCCUUUUUUGUUUAAAGUGCCUUUGUAAAAAUAGCUGACUUGUCAGAACGAGCCUUUGCUUUGACCCAGCACUGGGGAAGCAGAGGCAGGCAGGUCUCUGAGUUCCCUCCAGUAUGGCCAGGGAUACACAGAUCAUGCCUCAAAAGACAGAAAUAGCUGGGUGGUGGGGUGCAGUGGAGUGGUGCAUGCCUUUAGGAGGAAGAGGCAGGGUUCUUCUGGUCUACAGGGGCGGGGGCGGGGGUGGUGGUGGUGGUGGUGGUGGUGGUGGUGGUGGUGGUGGUUCCGGCUCCCGGGCUGUUAACACAGAAACCCUGUCUCAAAAAAACAACAAAAAAUAACCACCCAAAGAUAGCUUACAUUCAUUGAAUUCUGAUUAUAAGAGGUUGGCUUUAAAUAGUUAUUUGCUAAGUAUAUUAAAAUAUAAACCAUUUCAUAAACAUGAAAGAUGAGUAGCUAUAUACUGUUAAGAUUUGUGUCAAAAGGGGAGAUGUAUUUGCCAGUACAGGUGAAAGGAUUUAUGGAAAAUUGGUAAAACUGGUAAAGCUGCUUGACUGGGCACAGGGUAUAGACCUCCCGUGGAUGUUAACAAAGGCAGCCUCUAGUUUUUCAUAAACUACUAUUUGGAGAUUGGUCUUUUGUUUGUUAGAUACUCUAAAAUAAUGACUGAAUUUUAAGGAGUGGUUUAGAUGUGCUCAGAUUAGAAAACAUAUCUACAUUAUAGUUUUGAGCCAUGUUAUAUAAGUAAAUUGCUGACUAUGAGGAUCAACAGGUUAAGCAUUAAUUUAUAUUUGUAGGUUGCAUUGUUGCUACCGAUUAUUACUGCUGCCAUUUACAAAAUACCUCUUCUAUUAUUGUUUAUGUAUCAUUGCUAAUUCUAUUUUGUUUUGAUUUGUUUGGUUUGUUUUUUUUUUUUUUUUCUUUUUGAAACAGGGUUUCUUUCUUUUCUUUUCUUUUUUUUUUCUGGUUUUUCGAGACAGUGUUUCUCUGCAUAGCCCUGGCUGUCCUGGAACUCAGUCUGUAGACCAGGCUGGCCUCGAACUCAGAAAUCCACCAGCCUCUGCCUCCAGAAUGCUGGGAUUUUGAGACAGGAUUUCUUUGUAUCGUUGGUUGUCCUGGAACUUAACUUAACCAGGCUGGUGUCAAAUUUACAGAGAUCCCAGGUGCCUCUGCCUCCUGUGCUGGGAGUAAAGGCUAGCAACAUCACUGCCUGUCUGCUUAACAGUAGGUCUUUGCAUUAGAUCUCCUACAUUCUACCUGAGAAAAUUGAGGUUCAGAGAAGUUAAAUUAUUUGUUUGUAAACAUGGCUUAAGAAUUUGGAUUUUUUAAAGAAUUAUUUUAUAUAUAAGUACACUGUGGCUGUCUUCAGACACACCAGGAGAGAGCAUUGGAUCCCAUUACAGAUGGUUGUGAGCCACCAUGUGGUUGCUGGGGAUUGAACUCAGGACCUCUGAAAGAGCAGUCAGUGUUCUUAACCACUGAGCCAUCUCUCCAGCCCAGCUAGGCAUACUUUUAAUUAAAAUUGGACCUACAUUUCUGUUUGUUUGUUUGUUUUUCCAAGUCAGGGUUUCUCUGUAUACCCCUGGCUGUCCUGGAACUCACUUUGUAGACCAGGCUGUCCUGGAACUCAGAAAUUCGCCUGCCUCUGCCUCCCGAGUGCUGGGAUUAAAGGUGUGCGCCACCUUAUAGUUUGCUGACAAUUUCUAGAAUUCUGUAGUAGAAUUUUUUCCAGUUUUAUAAGCUCCUGUUUUGUGAGGAUUACUUAGUGUGCCUUAUGAGGUUCUGAAGUGAAUUGAAUAUAGCAGCCUUACAUACUGGUUUCAAAAACAAAAUCGUGUACAAGCGAUUGUUGGAUUGCAUUUCCUACUUUACCUUUUUUUUUUUUUUUUUUUUUUUUUUUGAGGCAGGGUCUUUACAGAGCCCUGGCUGUUCUGAAAUUCACUAUGUAGAGCAGGCUGGCCUGGAAUUCAAAGAAAUCUGCCUGCUUCUCCCUCCUGAGUGCUGGAAUUAAACACAUGCGCCACUACCACCCACAGGUUUCUUUACUAUGAAAAAGGCUGUGAAGUGGGACAUGUGUUCAGUCUUGAAAACUUGUCUAGUUUGUGGGACGUUCUAGAUUCAUUCUCUCCUCAGCACUGCAAAAGAGAAGCUUUGAUCUCUGGCAAAUGUUUGCUUUGUAAAGUGUAGUUUUUUUUAAAGACUUAUUUAUUUAUUUUAUGUAAGUAAGUACACUGUAGCUGUCUUCAGACACACCAGAAGAGGGCAUCAGAUCCCGUUACAGAUGGUUGUGAGCCACCCUGUGGUUGUUGGGAAUUGAACUCAGGACUUGUGCAAGAGCAGUCAGUGCUCUUAACCGCUGAGCCAGCUCUUCAGCCUGUAAAGUGUAUUUUUAUUUUCUGUGAACAUAUUGAGCAUGCUGCUCUCAACUCCCCAGAGACAUAACAUUAUUAGAAUGAGCUUUAGAGUAGUAAAUAGAGGGUAGGUAACUAUGUAUCAGUGCUGGGUCAGAACUGAGUACAGUUCAGGCAGUGGUAGAGAGCUUGUGGAACAUCUGUAAGACUGCGGCUUCUAUUGUGAGCACUAGCGUAGGGGGAGCUAGGUGCAAAAAAUUGAGUGUCAUGGGUGUUUGGAGGGUAUGGGAAUGGAAGAAGUUCUUGGGCUGGAGUCAAAAGGAAAGUUGAGAGGGUCUUAAGGUCUUCUUAGCACAAACCAGGUGAGAGAGACAGGGUCGGGAAGACAUUGUUUUUUUUCUGUUUAGGACAGAAAGGUCUAUAGUUUUCCUGUACUCAGCAUAGUUGUUAAAUUAUAUUCUGUUUGUUAUCUUUGGAGAAAAGCUUCCCUUUUCAUAUCACAGUAAAAUAUAUAUACAGUAUGACUGGCACUGAAAUCAAGAAGCAGAAUAUUAGCUGUGCCAUAGGAACUUUACCCCUAGUUAAUUUUCUCAUUUUGUUUUUAAAAGUUUCAGAAGGGGCGUCUCACUAUGUAGCCCUGGUUGACUUGAAACGUACUGUGUAGACCUGGUGGGGUGUUUGUCGUUGUUUUGUGACAGGGUCUCUGUAUUUAGUCUUGGCUGGCUGUGUAGACUAGGGUGGCUUCGAACUCACAGAUUCUCUUACCUCUAUUUACCAAGUGCUGGGGAUUAAAAGGCCUGCACCAUGUCCUGCUCUGCUUGUUGGUUUUCAGCUUACUGCUUACUUAACUCUGGGAUAAAAGAUAGAUGACACUCUCUAUGCUCUACCUUUUCUGAGUUCAUAGAGCAGAUUAGUAUGCUUGAAUAGAAGAGUAGACAUGAGUUUAUACUCCAAGUUUGAAGGUUUAUGAAAAAUGCCCUUAAAUUUUUAAAAUUUUUGUCUGCAUAGGUCAGAGGACAUCUUCAGAGAGGUGAUUCCACUGUAGGCUCCAGGAUUCAUGAGGCUUGCAGACCAGUUUUACCUGCUAAACUAUUUCAGAGGGCUCUUAAAAUCUUUAAAAACAGAAGAACAAAAACCUGCCACCUGGCUUGGUGACCACGCCUUGAAUUGUAGUACUUACCAUACUGUCAGAGGCAGGAUGAUUGUAAGUUAGAGGCUAGCCUGGUGUAGAUAGCAGAUUCCAGGAUAGUCAGGGCUGCAUAAAGAGACCCUGUCUCAAAAAAAAAAAAAAAAAAAAACCCAAAUCCUGCCUGGUCUUGGUGGUGACAUAAGCCUUUGAUCCCAGCACUGAGGUUAAUAGAAGAUCUCUAUGAGUUCAAGACCAGCCUGGUCCACAGAGAGAGUUGCAAGACAGCAAGGGCUACACAGAGAAACCCUUUCAAAACAAAACAAAACAAAACAAAAACCCAAAAACUAACCAGCCAACCAACCAAAUCUCCAGGUAUGGUGACAUGCCUGUGACCCCAGCAUUUGUUUGGAAUUGGAGACAGGAGGAUUAGAGGUUUAGGGCCAGUCUGAGUUACAUCAGACCCUGCUUUAAAAAGUCAAAUAGUAACACUCCAAAUAAACUGCAAAUCUACUGUAGUUAAUAGUUUUAGAAAUAGUUAAAAUUUAUUUUUAUUUAUUUUUUUUUUGAAGAGUCCAAAGCUACCAUAAUUAAUUCCUUACCUGUAAGACUGAAAUUUGAGACCCAAAGAGUUUGGUCGGUGGUCCUUGACACAGAGCUAGUUAAUGGUGAACUUAAACAUUUUGUCAACUCCAUUUUGUCAACUCAAACACAAUAUGUAAACAUUCCACAAGAAUAUACUUUUUAUAGUAAUACUAUAAAGGCUCAAUAUUGAAAACAGUGUAAAGAGUAACAUAUUGAUAUUGGGGAUUUAUUGCAUCUUUAUGUAAGAAUUUAAGGGGGCUGGUGAGAUGGCUCAGUGGGUAAGAGCACCUGACUGCUCUUCCGAAGGUCCAGAGUUCAAAUCCCAGCAACCACAUGGUGGCUCACAACCAUCCGUAACAAGAUCUGACUCCCUCUUCUAGUGUGUCUGAAGACAGCUACAGUGUACUUACAUAUAAUAAUAAAUAAAUCUUUAAAAAAAAAAAUUUAAACAUGCCAGGAAGCAUAGACACUUGAUUUUUGAAUUGUGACAUAGUAAAUUUAGUAAUUAAAAGUGUGAGCUUUAUAAUUAGGGUCUCACAUAGGAGGAGACAUACCAUGGUGAGAGGACAGACAGCCUCAGAUGUUGGUCUCUGCCAUUCCAUCUUGUUUGGAACAGGGUGUCUUUUUUUUGUUCCUCGUUAUAGUGGAGGCUAGCUGGCUGGGGGAGGGGGGGCUACUGCAUUUUAUUUACAUGGGCUUUGAGAAUUUGAACUCAGGUGUUAAUGUUUGUGUUUUACUCACAGAACUUAGCACCUUCGUGACUCCAUGUGUUGAGUUUACCUAAUCUUUGAAAUUAAGAGCUUUGUUGUCAUGUGGGAACAUCUGGGGCAGAUGGCCAAACAGAAUAAUGCAUAGGAUAUAUGGGCAUCAAGGUGUUAAUAUUUUAUUUUUUUUUAUUUAUUAUUUUGGUUUUUUGAGACGGUUUCUCUGUGUAGCUCUGGCUAACCUGGUGCUUACUCUGUAGACAAGAGAUCUGCCUGCAGAGACCUCCCAAGUGCUGGGAUUAAAAUUAAAGGCAGGUGCCUCCAUUGCCUAGCAGUGUUAAUCUCUUUUAGGAGAGUUUUUAAAGUCAGGAAAACUGUGUGAAAAAUGUUCUUCAUUCCCUAUUCCUCUCCUCUCCUCUCUCCUCUCCCCCCACUUUUUGCCUUCCGUUUGUGUGUGUGUGUGUGUGUGUGUGUAUUAUUUUGUUUUUUUCAGAGAUCACUUCUGAGUAAGACUUCUUUUUAUACAUUUGGUAUUUUCUAUUAUGUGGAUUUUUAAUGUAUUUGCUCUUUAAAACUAAGGUAAAAUGCACAUAGCAAAGUUGAUCAUCUGGGGCAUGUACUCUGGCGUGGGCUCUGAGUUUGAUCCCAGUACUACCCUCUAUUCCUGAUAAAGCACAAAAUAAAGUUUGCGGGCUUAAUCACUUUUGUAUGUAUACUUAAGUGGUGUUAAGUAUAUGCACACUGUUGUACAACCAUUUCUACCAUUUUCUCCAGAACUUUUUUAGUCUGUAAAACUGGAAAAAAAAAAUCUGUACUCAAUAGUAUUCUACUAUCUCUUAACCCAUCCCUGACAGUCACUGUUUUCUGUUUUCAUGAAUUUGACUACUCUUACUGUAUGUUCCUGGCGCUUUUGUAACUAACUUUAUUUCACUUAGCUAUAUCCCAUCUUUGCAUCAUAGAUCCCGGGCUGAGGAGAUGGCUCAGUGGGUUCAGUGCUGGCUGCUCAAGUGUGGGGAGUUGAGUUAUGAUCCUGAGUGCUCAUGUAAAAGCCAGGUACAGUGGUAUGCCGCUGUGACCGACCCCAGCACUGGGGCAGGCAGAAUACCUAGGGCUUGCUGAUUAGCUAUUGAAAUUUCAAGCACUGGGUUCACCGAGAGAUCCUGGCUCAAAAAAUAAGGUGGAGUGGGGCUGACAGGAAUACUCAGUAGAUAAAGGCACUUACUACCAAUCACGCCCACUAAUCCCCAGGGUCCACAUAGUAGGGAGAGAACUGACUGCUGCAAAUUGUUCUCUGACCCCUACAUGCUUGUGCCAUGGCAUAUGUGCAUCCCUUCUCCAGAAAAUAAAUAAGUAAAUAUGUGGAAAUCGACUGCUGGUUGCAUGGACAUUACACAAACAGUUAAAAACAGUGCUGGUGUUAUGUAUGGUUUUGCUGAUAAGAAUAGGUACAGCUUCUGCAGCAUUUUGGGUUGCUCCUAACCUGUAACUCCAGCUCUAGGGUAUCCACUGUCCUCUUCUGGCUACACUCACGUGGGCUACUUGGACACACACCUGUAUAUGAGUAAAAAUAGAAAAAGAGACCAGGUGUGGUGAGGAAUGCCUUUAACCCCUGCUUUUGAGAGACAGCCAUGUGGAUUUCUGUUAGUUCAAGUCUAGCCUGGUCUACAUAGCAAGUUCUAGGCCAGCUGGGUCUUUGUCUCAAAAACACAUACAUGAAGUAUAAAAAUAUACUGACAUUUUCCUUUAAUUUCUCUGCUAUUUCAUAGUCAUAACCUUUAUAUGUUCUAGCUUACCUUUCCUGUGUUAUUUAUUGUCAAGGCUCAGGUUUAUACUUUUUUUUUUUUAAGAUUUAUUUAUUUAUUAUAUGUAAGUACACUGUAGCUGUCCUCAGACACUCCAGAAGAGGGCAUCAGAUCUCAUUACGGAUGGUUGUGAGCCACCCUGUGGUUGCUGGGAUUUGUACUCAGGACCUCUGGAAGAACAGUCAGUGCUCUUACCCACUGAGCCAUCUCACCAGCCCCAGGUUUAUACUUUUAUUCCUGUAUAAAUGUAAGACUUUGUAUUUCAAAGGUUGUGUACUACUGAACUUUUUGCUGUUUAGUUGAGAUGUAGGAACUGGACCAAGCCCUUAGGUCCAUUCUUGGUUAGUGUGUUUGUAUGCCAUGGCAGAUUGUGAUUGGGGAACAACUUGUGUGAGUCAGUUCUCUACUUUCACCAUAUGGCUUAUCUACUGAGCUAUCUCAAUAGCCCUUUCCCUUAUUUAAAACUAUUUAGUCGGGCCUAGAGAGAUGACCAGUUAAGAGCACUGACUGCUUUUUCAGAGGUCCUGAGUUAAUUCCCAGCAACCACAUGGUGGCUCAUAACCAUCUGUAAUGGGAUCUUCUGGUGUGUCUGAAAACAGCUACAGUAUACACACAUAUACAAUACAUAUACAUAUACACAUCAACAAACAUCUAAAAAAAUGAAUUUGGUCUGGUAGGGGGGAGGGUUGAUGAUGAUCAAAGGACAACUUGCAGGAGUUGGCUCUCUGCUCCCACUAGGUGGAUUAAUAGAAUUGUGUUCCUUCAGUUUGCUAGUCAUUGCUUUACUUACUGCCCCCAGACCUUUCCUUUUGUUUGUUUUUGUGGAGACUAUCUCUGGCUGGCCUAUUCUAUGUAGAACAGGUUGGCUUCAAAGUCAUAGAUCCCCUUGCCUCUGCCUCCGCCUCCUGAGAACUGGUAUUAAAGGCGUGUGCCACCACAUCCUUCCAGUCCUUUCCUUUUUUACCUCUUUAAGCCAAGUUUGAGAACACAUGCAUAUUAUUUCAGCACCCAAGAAGUUGGGAUAAGCAAGAAGAAAUGGUCAGAACUAGAUUAAGAUCUACCAGGACAGGGAAAUGAAGUUCUGUUUCAAAAAAAGAAAGAAAUGAAACUUACUUAUCCUUAAAACAUUGCCUCUUCCCACUCCACCCUCCCUUUUUUUAAAAGAUAGGGUCUCAUUUAGACUAUGCUGACCUGGAUCUUUUUUUUUUUUUUUUUUUUUUUUAAGAUUUAUUUAUUUAUUUAUUUAUUUAUUAUAUGUAAGUACACUGUAGCUGUCCUCAGACACUCCAGAAGAGGGCGUCAGAUCUUGUUACAGGUGGUUGUGAGCCACCAUGUGGUUGCUGGGAUUUGAACUCCGGACCUUUGGAAGAGCAGUCGGGUGCUCUUACCCACUGAGCCAUCUCACCGCUGACUUGGAUCUUAAUGUAUAGCUAAGGCUGCUAUUGAAUCUUGGAACAUCUAGCCUCUAUGUUUGAAGUACUAUGCUUAUAGGUCCUGUGUGUCACCAUGCAUGGACAAAAUGCCAGUUUUCCUUGCACCCUUAGUUUUUCAUGUUCUCUGGUGUUGUCAUACUUCAUUACAUUAUAAUUAUUAUAAUAUCAAUAUAAUUAUAAAUAUUAUAUUAUUAAUUGUACUUAUGCCUGUUUGUUUUUGAUAGACUUCUAGAAAACUCCUUGAAAAUUCUUGGAAUCCUUUUUUCUUAAGCAUCUUUCAGGGCUCCUGGAAUAUAAUGGCCUACUAUUUUAAAGUGUUAUCACUUUAAAUCUUUGAUAGGUACAGUUUGCUUUUGUGCCCUCAUUCCUUUAUGGCUGAGGCAGAGUCUUUUGUAUUCUAGGCUAUAUUCUCACUUGAAAUGUAAAUGAAGGUGACCUUGAACUUUUUGUCUUUGGAGUGUUAUACUGUUGUACAGAGUUGUGCAGAAUACAGUCAUACAAUACCACAUUCUGUUUAUGGGGUACAGAUAUUGAACUUGUAGGAUUAUGUCAUUCUAGGCAAGUGUUCUACCAACUGAGCUACAUCCUAACCCUACUGUACUGGGGUUGUUUUUUUUUUGUUUGUUUGUUUGUUUUUUGUUUUUGUAAAGUAGAUUUUUUUGUUUUUGUUUUUUGGCAUUUUGAGACAGUUUUUCUGUGUAGACCUGACUGUCCUGGACUUCAUUAUGUAGAGCAGGCUGGCCUCAAACUCAUAUCUGCCUGCCUCUGCCUCCUGAGGGCUGAGAUUAAAGAGGCCCACUACCACUAAAGUAGAUCUUUUAAGGAAUAUGUGUAUGUGUGCAUGCAUGUGUAUGCCUGAGCAAGCCAGAAGAAUAUAUCAGGUCCUCUGGAACUGGAGUUAAGGAUGGUUGUGAACCACCAUGUGGGUGCUGAGAAUAGGACCCAGGUCCUUUGCAAAAAUGAUCAGUGCUGUUAACCACUGAGCCAUCUCUUGAGUCCCGAGGACUAAAAAGAGUAGAGCAGUUUCUACAUCUGUCAGACAUUUAGUUAUUUCCAGUUUAUUACUGAUAUGCAUGGGCAAGAAUUUUGAUUAUAUACGUGGUUGAUAUAUAUUGAUUUCUUGUUAAGUUUUUGGAUGUAGUUUAAGUGUUUUUAUAAAUAGUUGUCUUAUAAAUAAACUUUUAUUUAUUCCUUUAUUUGGGAAAGUGCUUAAAAUUAACCUUAGCCUCUCCAAUGCAGGUUUAUGCCAUGUCUGGUUUCUAAAUUAACCUAAGUGCUCCCUAAGACAUCUCUGCUUCCAUGCAAACCAAGUGCCUGGCAUGUUAUUUCAUAUUCAGUUAUGUCUACAGACCUAGGUAGUUAUGUAUGUCAGACUGACAGACCUCCUCCCCAUGGAGGAUACUGUGUAGCUGGCGGGCCUGGAGCUCACUGUCUAGGACAGGUCUUGAACUGGAGUGUUGGAUUAAGCGUGUGUGCCACUGUGUCCAGCUGUCAGGCCUGUUUCCCUUAAUGUCUCUGGAUUUGAUCAUACUUUUUGUCCUAUGAGGUUUACUUUGUGAGUUGCUGCAUUGUCCUUUGUGUGCCUUCUUAAGAACUGGGGAUGUGCCAGGUGUGAAGCAAGAUAGUACUCAGGCAGAAGCAGGCAGUCACUGAGUAGAUCUCUGGUCUACACAGAGAGUUCCAGGACAACCAGGGUUACACAAGAGAAACCCUGCCUUGAAAACAAAACAAACACCCCUCCACCCUCACCCCCAAAAAACCCCAAACUGGAGAUAUAUCCUUGAGGGUGGAGACCCAAUUUCUUGGUAGUUCAUUCUCCAUUGCUAAGCACAUUGUGGGUAAGUAGGAGGCACUUGUUUUCCUGAAUAAAUUUAAGAAUUUUGGGGAGCUUAUCCAAACCAUGGUGGAAAUAUAAUACCUUUUGCUCUGCUUCUGAGUCUAGGAAAAGAUACAUUGUUGAAGAUGGUCUCCAGAUCAAGUUGCACAUCUAUAGGCUACUAACUCAGGUUCUCUAUUUAGAAAACUGAACACUCACAUCAAGAACUAGGAAGCAAGGUAGUCAAAAGGGAAUUAUUUUGACUUUCUUUUGUUGUUUUUACCUUUGAAGAUCUCAAGGGGCUCCUAAAUAGUAUAUAUGACAUCAUCUGUGUCCCUGUGCGGUUCUUUUGUUUGUUUAACUUCAUAUUUUUUCAUUUAUUCAGGUGCUUAGGUGGUUAAUUAAAUAGACAUAGUCACUGCUUUACUGAGAAAAUUUUAACCUGCCAAGGCAGUGAGAAACUGAACAGCUAGUUUUAAGUGUGUGUGUGUAUAGCAUAAGGGAAGCUGUAAGGUUGAGUAAUUUAAUUUACCCUCAGGGAGAGAGUUCUUCGGGAAUAAACCGUAUACUUUGAGGGUGAAUUUGAAUAAGCUUAGGAAGAUCAGCUGUAUACAUAUAGAAAGCUGGUAAUCAUAACAACUAAAGACAGAAAGAUUACUCUUCUGUUUUCCUUUUUCUCUUCUCCUUAAUCUUUCUUUUGAGACAGGGUCUCAUAUAUAUCCUUGGCUGUUCUGGAACUUGUUAUGUAUACCAGGCUGUAAACAGAUCUCCCUGCCUCUUCCAUCCAGUGCUGAGAUUAAAAGCAUCAGCUCACCUUGCCCAGCUUAAUUACAUUUCUUAAAAUCAGUUUUUGUAAAUAUAAAAAUUGCAGGUUUGCUUUCUAUAGACAGUAGUAGAACCUAUCUGAACCCCCCCCCCCCCCAGCUACUUCUUUUAUCUUCCAUCCACUUGUGUUUGGGACAAGGCCAGCCUUGACUUCACUGUGUAACUGAGGGUGACUUUGAAUUUCUCCUUCCACUUUCCAAAUGCUGUGCUUGAAGUGCAUGGAAUCACUAAAGCCAAGAAAAGAAUGUUAGGAAGAAAAUUGGCCUUUUAGCUGCGGAAAGAAAAAUGAUCACUGACUUUUCAACAUAGUGGCCAUUGGUGUCCGUCCUUGCCAGAGUUUUUAUGGGAGUGGUGAAAAUAGGAGUCUGAUUGAUUGGAGCAGGUAACUGAAAGAUCAACUGUGAAAGUGGCAUGAGGAGUUUUGCUUAGCAGGAGAAUAGAGAAGAGAGGCUGGGGAAGUCAGGCUCAAGGGACCUUUGAAAAGAAUUCUGGCAGAUGAUAGAGGGAAUUGUAUGUUGUUGGGUAGGAGAAUCUGAUUAUGCUAGAGAAUAAUCAGAAUUUCUUAUUUUUAACAAGAUUGCUUAGGGAAGUUGCAAAGUCCUUGAAAAUGAACAGGAGUAGGUAGGGUGAUAUUCAUAACAGGGUGGGAGGAUUGGUCUUUAAUAGAAACAGAGACACAUAGGACAACGUUACGGUUCUGUUGGGAUUUGUGGUCUGCACUUUACAGACCAAUUAACAAUGGUUGUGUUUUCUCUAGUAAUGAUGGCUUGGUGGCUUCGGGCAAGAGGAAAAAGGUGGUGUGGUUUUUUUAGUUAAUUGGAAAAUGAGUUUAACUAGCUUGGGGGCUAUCAGUGAAUACUAUGAAAAAGAAAACAUCAGUGUUGUCAAGAGUAUUUUGUAAGAGAGUAUUAAUAAGAAAUGUCCCUGAAAUCUGAGAGAAAUGAGGCUGUUAGAAGUGAUCAAAGUGUUCAUGUGGGAUGGAGCCAGCUGUUGGGUUUGCAGAGCUGAAGAAAGUAAACUUAAUUCAAGCCAAAUGGGAGUCUAAGAACAUUGACAUAAUUUGGGGAAAGGUAUAAUUUUUGUUGACAGAGAUUAAGAAAGAUUAUCAUAAGAAUGGAGGCUUGUAUUUUAUUAACAUUUGUUUUUUUUUUAAGAUUUAUUUAUUUAUUUUAUGUAUAUGAGUACACACUGUAGCUGUACAGAUGGGUGUGAACCUUCAUCUGGUUGUUGGGAAUUGAAUUUUGGACCUCUGCCCACUCUGGUCAACCCCGCUCGCUCUGGUAGACCCACUCGGUUCUGGUCCAAAGAUUUAUUUAUUAUUAUACAUAAGUACACUGUAGCUGUCUUCAGAUACACCAGAAGAGGGCAUCAGAUCUCAUUACGGGUGGUUGUGAGCCACCAUGUGGUUGCUGGGAUUUGAACUCAGGACCUCUGGAAGAGCAGCCAGUGCUCUUACCUGCUGAGCCAUCUCACCAGCCCCCAACAUUUGUUAAGAACACAGUUCUUUUUGCUUUUCGUGGGAAUUUUAAACAUGUACAAAUAUUAUGCUUGGGGGAUGAUUCAGUGGUUAGGAGCAUUUGUUACUCUUGCAGAGAGAGGACCUGGGUUUGAUUCCUUAGCACCUCUGUGGUGUGGUAGCUUACAGCUAUCCAUAACUCCAGUUUCAAGGAUCUGAUGCCUUCUUCGGAUCUCUGUAGGCCCAAGGCAUGUACACGGUGCACAUGCAUCCAUGUAAGCAAAUCCAUCCAUCCAUUUCAUGUACACAAAAUCAAUUUAAAAAAACGUAUGCACAAAAAGAUAAUAAAAGUAGGGAAUAUACAGUUUUUCAUCUAUUAAAGCAGCAGUUCUUAAUCUUCCUAAGGCUGUAACUUAAUACAAUUACUCAUUUUAUGGUGACUCCAACCAUAAAACUAUUUCAUAAUUGUAAUUUUCUACUGUUAUGAAUUGUUAUGUAAAUAUCUUGGUAUACAGGAUAUCUGCUAUGCGACUCCUGUCAAAGUGACCCUAACUCAAACCGAUGGACCCACAGGUUGAGAACGGCUUUACUAGAUUGUUCCUGAUGCCAGUAUCACUCUUAUUAGUCCUGAUGAUUUUCUCAAUUGUAACUCAAAUUUAUUGAGGUAGAAUUCUGGCAUAAUGAGAAUUGCAUGAGGUAUGUUGGUAUAUAGAUCAGAUCUUGUUUACUGGGUUGCAGAGGCAGGAUCCCAAGUUAAAGGACUCUCUCUCACACAAUGGUUCUGGGGGAGUCAGCUCAGUUUGCCCAAUCACACAGUAGACUGUACCUUCAAUCAACCAGGAUAGUUCUCUAGUGCUAACAAAUGGUUCCCUUCCCUUUUGUUAUUCCUUUUGGGGGGGGGUUGUUUUUUUUUUUUUUUUUUUUUUUUUUAAAGAUUUUAUUUAUUUAUAUGUAAGUACACUGUAGCUGUCUUCAGACAUUCCAGAAGAGUGAGUCAGAUCUCGGAUGGUUGUGAGCCACCAUGUGGUUGCUGGGAUUUGAACUGGGGACCUUCGGAAGAGCAGUCGGGUGCUCUUACCCACUGAGCCAUCUCACCAGCCCAUGGGGGGAGGUUUCAAGACAGGGUUUCUCUGUAUAGCCCUGGCUGUCUUGGAACUCACUCUGUAGACAAGGCUGGCCUCAAACUCAGAAAUCCACCUGCCUCUGCCUCCCAAGUGCUGGAAUUAAAGGCAUGCGCCACCACUGCCCGGCUCCUUUUGUUACUCUUGGUCAGUUUGUACUGUCAUAAUUAAACUAUACUGAGAAACUCAAUUUAUUUCUUAGAAAUCUGAGAACAGAUGGCAGAACAGUCAGGCUCUGUUAAGGGCCCUUUUGGCCUAUAGAUUUGUCCUCAUUUGAAGGGGUGAGGAGGAAGCUCUUGGUUUCUCUUAUAAAGGAAAUCCCCAGUAGUGCCAAAAGCAAAAAUGGAAUCCUGUGCUGAUUGUUCUAUACUUGCCUCUUUCUUUUUUUAAGUUAACUGUUUAUCUUUAAGGAUUGUCUUGGUCAGUGUUUUAUUGCUGUGAAGAGGCACUAAGACCACAGCAACUAUUAUAAAGGAAAGCAUUUAAUUGGGGCUGGCUUACAGUUCAGAGGUUUAGUUCAUUAUCAUCAUGGAGGCAUGCAGGCAGACUCUGGGGAGGUAGCUAAGAGUUGUUGUAUAUCAGAAUUGGCGGGCAGCAGGAAGAGAGUGACACUGGGCCUGGCUUGUGCAUUUGAAACCUCAAAGCUCACCCCCAGUGACACUAUCUCCAACAAGGCCUCUCCUAUUCCAACAAGGCUACACCCUCUAAUCCCUGUCAAGUAUCACCACUUCCUAAUGACCAAAUACAUGAGCAUAUGGGGAUCAUUACUAUUCACACAACUGCGGGGAUAUUGUAAAUUAGUGGACAUAGAGCCAGUUUAAGAAAAAUAGCUAUGGGACUGGAGGGACAGCGAAGCGAGCGGUUUAAGAGUUUGUUGCUCUUGUUGAAGACCUGUGUAGCCCCUAGCAUCCACAUGGUUGCUCACAAACAUUAGUAACUGGUUGCUGGGGAGCCAAUGCCCUCUUCUGACCUCUUUGGGCAUUAGGUAUGCACAUGGUGCAUAUACAUCCAUGUCAGCAGAACACUUACACACAUAAAGUAAAUCUUUUUUUUUUUUUUUUUAAGAAUUAUUUUGUGUAUAUGAGUACACUGUCUCUGUCUUCAGACACACCUGAAGAGGGCAUCGGAUCCCAUUACAGAUAAAUGUGAGCCACCAUGUGGUUGUUGGGAAUAGAACUCAGAACCUCUGGCAGAGCACUCAGUUCUCUUAACCACUGAGCCAUCUCUCCAGCCCAUAAAAUAAAUCCUAAAACAAAAAGAAAAGUAGCUAUGUAAGUGGCAUUCUCUUAUUGGAUUAUCAUAAUUUCAAGUUUUUAACUUUUCUACUUACGACCUUAUCCAAGGGCAGACUGUAAUAAAAUAUUUCUCUCGAGUGGGCCUUGUUUAGGGCAGAAUACUGUGGAUUUAUUUCAGUAGCUCACCUUUCUCUUCCCCUGCUGGAGUUCCUUCUCUCUUUUCUUUUUUCCUUUUUUUUGGUUUUUCGAGACAGGGUUUCUCUGUAUAGUCCUGGCUGUCCUGGAACUCACUUUGUAGACCAGGCUGGCCUCGAACUCAGAAAUCGGCCUGCCUCUGCCUCCUGAGUGCUGGGAUUAAAGGUGUGUGCCACCAUGCCCGGCUUGGAGUUUCUUCUCUUAUAUGUCAUUUUGAGGACCAGGUUCAGAAAAUUUGGUAACUUCCAGGGAAUUCUUAAUUGCUUGGAUUUGUGCUUACUUAUGCUUCCAGCCAUGCAUCCAUCACUAUACACUGGCACAUUGUACAUUGGUCUGAGUUCCUACAGAGAGCAUCAUGAGAGUCUGCUCUGUGAUUUGUGAUCCCCCUUCUCUGCACCUCCAGCAGUUUGUUCUUUGACUUGAGCUGUUGAUUUUCAGUUUGUUCAGGUUGCUGUGGUUGCUUUUUUUUUUUUUUUCUCCUCCUGCUUUUGUCAUUCUCUAUGUCGUCUUUGUAGUGCUCUUGAAGGAACAGAGGGUUUUUGUACAUAUUAUAUAGAUCCCACAUCCUCAUUCCUUUGUGUCUUCUAGUAUGAGUGAUGACUUUCAAACAUUUUAUAUGAUAAAACAAAUGAGAAGAUUCAGAGUGUGUGUGUGUGUGUGUGUGUGUACAAAUGGAACCCAGAGGACAAUUUUAGGUAUCAUUCUUCAGGUUUUUAUUUAAUUUUACUUUUUGAGACAAGGUCUGUCAUUAGCUAGGAACUUGGCAAAUGGCCUAGGCUGUAUAUGGGCUGUGAGCUUUAGGGAUCUCUUGGUAUCUGCCUCCUCAAUGCUGGGAUUGUGAAUGAGUGCAGUAGUCUGCCUGCAUGUGUGUAUGUGCCGCCGAUCCUCUGGAACUGGAGUUACAGAUGGUUGUGAAACUACCUUAUGGGUGAUAGGAACUCAACCUGGGGACCCUUGCAAGAGUGGUGGCUUAAACCUCUGAGCAAUCUUGCUGGCCCCCUCCCCCUUCUUUGUUUUUAUUUUUGAGACAGGGUCUACUGUGUAGUCCUGGCUAGCCUUAAUCAUAGAGUUUUGCCUGCCUCUGCCUCCCAAGUGCUGGGAUUAAAGUUUUGUGCCACUCUAUCCAUCCCAUACUACUUUAGGUUUUGGGAUUGUUGUUGUUUUUUUAAUAGCUUUUAAAUUUAUUUUUUAAAAAUUGUAUGUGUAUAGGUGUUUUAUCUGUAUGUAUACCAUGUGGAUGCCUAGUGUUCAUAGAUGCCUGAGAGGGCCUUGGGACUGGAGUUACAGACAGAUAUGAGUUGCCUUGUGGGUGUAGGAAUUGAACCCAGGUCCUCUGGAGGAGGUGCUCAUUCCAGGUCCUAUCAUAUUACUUUUAAUACAGUAUUAUCUUUGCAAGCCUGUUGGUAUUACUUUGCUUUGCAUUAACUUUAAGAUAGGGUCUUAAGAUUAUCUUCUUCAACUUCCUUAAGUGCUAAAAUGAUAGGGUUAAUAAAACCACGCCCGGCUUUAGUUCUUUUUUAAAAGAUUUAUUUAUUUAUUUUAUGUAUAUGCGCACACUGUAGCUGUCUUCAGACACACCAGAAGAGGGCAUUGGAUCCCAUUACAGAUGGUUGUGGGCCACCAUAUGGUUGUUGGCAGUUGAACUCAGGACCUCUGGAAGAGCAGCCAGUGCUCUUAACCUCUGAGCCAUCUCUCCAGCCCCUUUAGUUUUUUAGAUAUAGUUUUUAGUGCUAUCACCUCACUGGAAGGAGUUUAAUUGGCAUUUGCAUUGAAUUUGUGGAUUAAAUUGGAAGAAAUUGGGUUUUGACACAUUUUUGAGCCUUACUGUCCUUGAAUACAGAACAUCUGUACAUCUUUAGAAUUUUUAGUUUUCUGCAUAUUUGUGUAUGUGUGUAUACUCCAGUGUGCCCUUGUGCAUGUUAGAGUGUAUGUAUUUGGAGACCAGAGGUCAAACCCCCCCCCCCCCCCCCAGCUGUUCUGUCUACCCUUUAUUUUUAAGUCUGGAUUUCUCUCUGGGAUCUGAGGAUCACUCAUAAGGCCAAUCUGGCUGGCCAGUGAACCUCAGGGGGAGUCCACUUCCAUAGUGCUGGGUUUGCAAGUGUUUGUGUGAUUGGAAUUACAGGUGAGCCACCUGCCUCACACCCUCAGCAUUCAUGUGGGUUUCUGGAAAUCUGAAUUUAGGUCUCCAGGAUUAGGUGAAAAAACUUCACUGUGAGAUGUUUUAGAGGUGUUAGUAAUUUCAAGAGAAAGAUACAUGACUUGAGAGUAAUAGGACUUGGGCUUGAUGUCACAUACCUUUAAUCUCAGUCUCUACAAGUGAAUCUCUGUGAGCUCAAGGCCAGCCAGGUCUGCAUAGUAUCAGGAUAGCCAGGCUACAUAGUUUGCCCCAUGCCCCUCCCCCAACAACAAAGGCUAUAGGAAGUAAUGUUUAGGGCUUAGUCACUAUAUAUUAGUAGAUAGUCUCAGAACAGUGUUCCUCAACCUUCCUAAUGCUGCCCUUUAACACAGUUCCUCAUGAUAUGGUAACCACCAACUAUAAGAUGAUUUUUGUUAUACAUUUUAAUCUCUUUACAAGCUUCUUCCCAUUACAACUGCUGGGUGACUUCAAAGAUUCAAAUUGAAUUAUCAGGUCACUUUAGUUUUUCUUUUCAUCCUUUUAAUCUUGCAUUAUCUAGCUCCUGUCUACUUCCUACUCCAUCAUUCUUACUUUCUUAUGUUGUACUUACUUCUUUAUAUUGGGGACUUUUCAGUUUCCAAACAUGCUAAACCUCCUCUCUGUUUUACUGAGGAUGGACUUGCUGUGUGAUAGGUCAAGUUUCUAAGUUGGGCUUUUAUUAUUUUUGAGACAGGGUCUCUGUGUAAUCCUGGCUGCCCUGGAACUUGGGAUAUAUAUAGGUCAAGUCAGUCUCCUGAGUAUGGGAAUUAUAAAGUUUAUAGUUUGUUCUUUUAAAAGUAGCUUUCUCAACUAACCAGUACCCCGGAGCUCGUGACUCUAGCUGCAUAUGUAUCAGAAGAUGGCCUAGUCGGCCAUCACUGGAAAGAGAGGCCCAUUGUACUUGCAAACUUUAUAUGCCCCAGUACAGGGGAACACCAGGGCCAAGAAGUGGGAGUGGGUGGGUAGGGGGAUGGGCGGGGGAGGGUAUGGGGAUAGCACUGGAAAUGUAAAUGAAGGAAAAUACCUAAUAAUAAUAAAAAAAAAAUACCAUGCCAAAAAAAAAAAAAAAUAGCUUUCUCAGCCAGACAGUGGUGGCGCACACCUCUAAUCCCAGGACUCGGAGGCAGAGGCAGGCGGAUUUAUGAGUUCGAGGCCAGCCUGGUCUACAGAGUGAGUUCCAGGACAGCCAGGGCUACAGAGAGACCCUGUCUGGAAAAACCAAAAAAAAAAAAAAAAAAAAAGAAAAAGAAAAAAGUAGCUUUUCAAGGAAGUCUCUUUUUAGAUAUUUUUCUCUAUUAAGUACUCUGAUGCUUGAUGCUUGCUUUCUUUGUUUCUUUUCUUUUUCUUUUUUCUUUCUUUUUUUAAAUUUGUUUUUGUUUGAAGACAGUUUCUCUGUGUAGUCCUGGAUCACUUCAAAUACUAGGUUGCACUGGAACUCAGACUCACCUGCCUCUGUCUCUUGAGUGUUGGAAUUAAAGACUUGUGUUCUUGUGUUUGUCUGUCUGUCUGAAACAAGGUUCUUUUAUGUAGUCCUGGCUGUCCUGGAACUCACUCUGCAGAUCAGGUAAACCAGGUUGGCCUCAAACUAGCAGAAAUUGCCUGCCUCUAGUUUUUUGAUUGUUUUGGUUUGGUUUUCGAGAGACAGGUUUCUCUGUGUAGCCCUGGCUGUCCUGGAACUCACUCGGUAGUCCAGCUGCCUCUAGUUCUUGAGUGCUGGGAUUAAAGAUGUGCAUCACCACUGCCUGCCUAUUCUCAUAGUUUCUUAUACAUUUGAAAGUUAUAUAUUUAGUUGUUCUGUGUCUUUAUACUAACAGUACUAGUAAUAAUGCCUUGCAAUAGUUUUUAUAUUUAUAUUUAUCAUAUCAGUUCAGGGGCCUUGCCUAGCAUGCAGGAAAAGGAGGGUUCAAGCACCACAUAAAUGGGUUGUGGCAAAUGCCUGUAAUCCCAGCACUCUGGUGAGAGGUUGGUUAGGGCUUGGAGAGGAGUAUUAAAAAUUCAGAAUCAUUCUUGACUGCAUAUCUACUUUGAAGCCAGCCUUGGGACACAUAAAAGAAAGUUUAUAAUUUCAUUUUGCUCUUUAGGUUUUUGAAGUAUGAUGACUGGAAUGAAGGCCAAUAAUUCUAACCUCACAUUAUUACUGUAACUGGAGAGGCUAUUAUUUUCUGGUUCUCUAGCUAGAAUAGCAUUGCCUGUCCAAUAAUACAGUAGCCAUUAGCCACAUUUGACUUUCUUUGUCAAUGUCAGGUUCUCAAAGUCUGCCUUUGACUUUGGCAGGGGGUGGGUGUCUCAUGUGCUGUGGCUCACAGGCAGAGGUCUGAGAGCAGCACCUUUCAAGAGUUGUUUCCUGAAUUCCUUUACCAUGUGGGUCCCCAGAUCCAUUUUGUCCAUUGGGUAGCACUGAUUUACAGUUUACUCUUUUUGUUAGUUUUGAGAUCUCACUGUGGAGCUGGCUGGCCUGACUAUACUGUGUAGACCAGGCAGCCUUUGCCUCUGUAGUGCUAGGAUUAAAGGUUUUGUGACCCACACCAGGGUUACGAUUUGUUCUUAAUAAUGACUGUAAAUGUUUGCUUGAUCUCACUUUCCUAUUAUAUCUCAGUCUCUUAGUUUUCUUUUUUUAAAGAUUUAUUUAUUUUAUGCAUGUGAGUACAAUGUUGCUCUCUUCUCAGACACUAGAAGAGAGAAUCAGAUCCCAUUACAGAUGGUUGUGAGCCACCCUGUGGUUGCUGGGAUUUGAACUCAGGACCUCUGGAAGAGCAGUCAGUGCUCUUAACUGCUGAGCUAUCUAUCUCUGCAGCUCCAGUCUCUUAGUUUUCAUGUCAACUUUACUUGGGGAACAUUAAAUGGCCCAUGCUUCAGUUUUGUUUAAUCCAUUUAGGGACUGCAGGUGUAACUCUGGUAGAACAACUGCUUACCAAGCUCACGGAACCUGGGCUUGGUCCUCACACACAUCCCACAUGUUCAUAUACAAAUCCUGGCUUAUAUCUUAAGUCAUUGAAAAAUAGGUUAGAGGUAAGUAAUGUAUAUUAAAUGUUGGGAGAGGACUGUGUCUGCUAGGUAUGGUUGAGGGAGGGCUUAUUAAGGGAGAGUACAAAGGCUCUGGACUGAAUAUGGCCAUGAAAGGAGGGGUGGGGAGUGAGAGAGAAAAGAGGAAAGGGAUGGUGGUUUGGGGCAAUCUGAAAAAGAGAUCAGGAGAUUCAGGUAUGGAGGCAAAAUGGCUGUUAUAUAGCUAAGUGGAAGCUCAGCCCCAUGGAGGGAGAGGCUUAGGGUAGGAGGUCAUGUGAGAAGUGCUGGGAAGAGCCACAGGUACUGGGCAAGACCUCUUCCAGAUUUCUUUGAGAUUUAACAAAUGUAGCUGCUAAGCUUUAAAUAUCUUUAUUUCAAACAAGGCAUGGAGAAUCAAAUUUUUCUCUUCCAUCAAUUUGUUGGUCCACUUUCUCUUCCUCUAAGACAAGUUAUCAUUAUGUAGUGAUUUUUUUUUGGGGGGUGGUGGUGGGGGGUGGUUCAAGACAGUGUUUCUCUGUAUUGCCCAGGCUGUCCUGGAACUCAAUCUGUAGACCAGGCUGGUCUGGAACUCAGAAAUUCGCCUGCCUCUGCCUCCCACCUGCUGGGAUUAAAGGCAUGCAGCACCACUGCCCAGCUGUCUCAUUAUGUAGUGGAGGCUGGCAUAGAAUUCACUGCCCAAUCUCCUUUUGUGUGAGUUUCCUAAGAACUGGGAUUGUACAUUUGAACUACCAUGCCCAUCUUAACAGUUUUUUCUACUGGGGCUGGACAGAUGUAAUUCAGUGGUAGAGUUACCAUUCUAGUUGGUGGCAUGAACAUGGGAAAAUGUAGCCUAAAAUGAGGAGGACUAAAGUCACAUGCAAUCACUUUCUUUAGGGCAUAAUAGAAUUUACAUUCUGAGGGUUAAGCAAGAUCAUAUGAGCAAAGUUCAGGUGAGUUCAAGCUGUAUACUGUCAUGAGGACAGACCCUGCUUGGAAACCUCAUCAGAAUAAUAGAAGCAGGACCUGUAACCUGAAGUAAACCUACUCCUACUUACCAUACCUGGGAGGGGCACAGAAGCACAUUCUAGGAACAGCCCAUGCAUGGGAGGAACAGCUCACAGACUCUUCUUGAUCCUCAUACUUCUGCAUCUUUAGUGCUUGCAUAUGUGUGGGCCUGGCUACCAGAGGUUUUACACGGAGAUCUCUGGCCAGGCUUGGUGCGAGGGUUCCCCGAAGGGAAGCGAAUGCAGGCAGGGAGGGGAAGUUACUUCCCUGCUUCUGCUGUGCUGGUUGUCUCCACUUCUCUGCCAUGCAGUAAUUCUUCACUGAGUCGGGUCGGGCUGGGCCGAGGAGAAGCUGACUAGCGAGAGUGCGACAGGACCUCAGGCAGCUCUUUGGGAGAGCCGACCUCUCCCCAAGUGUUAGAGCUCUUAGGACAAAGCCUCAGAUGACGGAGUAGUUCUCUCCCUGCAUGGGACUUAUAUACAGUUUUGGGGAUGAUCCAGGGUUUGACAGCAGGUGCUUUUUAUUGGCUUGGACUGAGUUUGGGGAAACCUUAUUUGUAUGUGGGAGGGCUUGGUGCAGCUAGUACUUGAUUGAUGCAGCAUGCCUCUCUGCAGGGGGGCUGUGGGAGGCUGUAGCUACCUCUGCUGCUGUAGCUGUGUGCUGCGAGCACAGUGGGAUACCCAGGAGGCGUGGCCAAACUCCUGCUGUCCCUUGCUGUUGGAAAUCUCCGCCCACCACGGGGGCGGGGGGGGGGGGGGCGCUCCGGUUCCAGACCUGUGCUCGACCCGGGGGACCAGGCACAGCUCACCACCCCACAGAUAUGUACUACUGAUCUCAGCUGGAUAUUUGGAUUAAAAUUUCAUUUUCGAAUAGAUAAAAAUAAGGUGUAUGAAAACUUCUUAUUUAGGUUCUCCUCUGACCUCCGUGGGCACCAGACAAGCAAGUGGUACACAGACAUAUGUGCAUGCAAGAACCUAUAUUCACAACAACAAGUACUUUAUUUAUGAGCUAGUAAUGUGUCUAAGCUGGGUAGUGGAUGCUUACCCUAGCAUGUGCAAAGUCUUGCUUUGAUCCUCGAUAUCAAAUAUUUAUAUGGUGGCACACACCUAAAAUCCCAGCAUACAGUAGGCUGAGGCAGAAAGAUCUCUACAGGUUUGAGGUUGGCCUGCAUUACAUAGAGAGACUGAAAGGACAGUAAUAGCAUCAGUUGCUACUUUGUACUCAGCAUUAAUAUGUUAAGGAUUACUUCUUACACUUUGUUUUCCUUUCACCUCUGAAAAUGUAUUAGAACCCUUUUUGGAGUCGAUGAAGGAUAGAGUUGGGAUUUGAGCUUGGGCCUAGUACAUGCUCAGUAUACCUAUUCCCAGCCUGAGGACUGCAUUAGAUUUUGCACUGUUUUUCCUCCGUGCAUGCGCGCGCGCGUGUGUGUGUGUGUGUGUGUGUGUGUGUGUGUGUGUGUGUGUGUGUGUGUAUACAUGUGUCUAUAUGCACAUGUGAGUGCAGGUGUAGGGGUUGUUGGUUCUUUCCUUCUACCAUGUAAGUUCUAGAAAUUGCCACAUUUGGUGACAACCCCUUUUAUCUAUUGAACCAUGUGGCUGGCCUCCUUUUCCCGUCCCUCCAACCUCCUGCAUUUCUUCUUUUCAGGCAAGGUCUAUGUAGUCUAGGCUGGCCUCAGCUUUGCUAUGUAGCUGAUCUUAAAUUUCUGAUCCUCCUCCUUCCACCUUCCUAGUUUUGGGAUCAUACUCAGCCAGGACUUCAUGUAUUCUAGGCACUGUUAUUGAGCCAAGUGCUGGACCCAGAAUUCUGUACUUUCUCAUUAGCAAUAUGGUCAUUCAUUUUCCUUCACCCAGAUUAUCUUCAAUGUUCUAUGCUGUUUUGCUCUAUUUUAAUAGUUACAUUGCUUACUAGGAGCUGUAUAUUUCAUCCAUCUGUGUGCCCUUCCCCCCCCUCCCCCCCCCAAUUCCCCCUUUGCUUCUCUGGUUGUCCUGGCACUUGUUAUGUAGCUUCAAACUUUAGUCCCUGCCUCUGCCUCCACCCCCUGAGUGCUGGGAUUAAAGGUGUGCACCACCAUGUUUGGGCAUUAGUAAUGCUUUGUAGAUUCAAAGGAAUGUUAGAAACACCAAGACUACUAAAAAUCUUCCUGCCUUGUGCUGAACUCUUAGAAGAAAGUUAUAGAAAAACGCUUUGCAGUUGUCCUCACUAAAGAUGGGGUGCCAAAAUACACACUGAAGGUUCCCUGUGGAUUCUUUAUGGGUAACACAUUGUUUUGUUUUUUAGAAAUUAAUGGUUCCAUUCUUAAAACUCUGAGGUGAAUUAUAAAAUAAUACUUUCUAAUGAAAGACUUAUAUUUGUUAUUAAGCAAAGGUAAUGAUGAAGUGUGUUCUUAGGAAACCCACUUAUUCUGAAAAGUGCUGGUGACAUCUUUCUUUCCUAGUGUGCCCAAGGUUCCUGGGAUUGAUCCCAGCACUACCACACUUACUUUUUAAAACAACAGCAACAAGCAAAAAAUUUACAGAAAUAUGUUAUCAAAAUGAUUGUAUGAUAGGCAUUCUCAUUUUAUACUAAUAAAACUGAGAGUUUUACAGUUACAGUUGCAGUGAUGUACCCUGAACUAUUAAGACGCUGGGAGAAGCAGGAUUCAGCAUACAUUUGACUUCAGGGGCCAUGCCUUCUAGUAGUCUGGUAGUGAGUCCAUUAUCUGAGUGUUCCUGAGUCAUAUACUCAGGGACCUGUGUGGGUAGUGGGAGGCUUGGAUUGAGAAGAAGUUGGAUGUUUUAAAUCAAACUGUGACAAUAUAAAAAGUAAUUAUUAACUUGAUAAAAAAAUUAAAUUGAUAAAAAAUUGAGUUGUGAAAAAUUCCCAAUUUUAACUUUUCAUUUUCUUUUUAUCUUUAGUUAUCUGCAGAUAAAGACCUUACUCUAGAAU